AGGGGCCACAGCAGUUUGUAAGCAGCCUCCAGCAUCAGCAGAGUCAGGAAGAGGACCAAGAAGGCGAGGAAGAUCUUGUCCAAAGCCUGCCGCACGGGCCCCCGAGGAGGAAUGGGACCCUGGGCAAAUGCUAGGAACACGUCCCCCUCCUCCACGCCGCCCUCUUCCUCUUCCGCCAUUUUCAAGCAGUCAGACAGCUGGCUAGCUCAGCGAGGGGAUGGAAGCCGGCUCAGCAUCGCUGGGAUUAAAGGGUAAAAAACCAGACUGUGAAAAUGUUACUGCGACUAGCAUGGGAGAAGCUGAACCAAGUCUCCUGAUAAAUCCUGAAGACAUUGUCCCCAAAGAACCAGGAAGUCCAGAAGAGACUAUCCGGACAAUCCAGACACCAGGUGACAGAGUUUCUCACCGGAAUAACAACGUCUUCUGAGAUCAACGCUGUGGUUGGAGCUGUCCCCUCGAUGUGUUCCCACCUACGGUGUUCCAACCAUCCCAUCUGACAUCUCUGCUCCCGGAUUCGUCGAGUCAGUGACGUGAAUAACUACGGUGA